GAAGGUUUUAUCAUGGCACACAUCUGUUUACACGGGAGGAAACUCCUCAUGUGAUGCGACAUUUAGCAGUUUGCAAGUGUGCAGCACAUCAGAAGAAUGACUAUGAAAUUACAAAGGAAACAAUUUUACUGACAAAGGAUGAACAAAAAGCAGCUCCCACAGCUGAGCAAAAGAAAUGGCUGAAAUGCGGAGCGCAACUAAAAGAUGACUUGAUGAUUUGUGAAGGAAAACCAAUACUUCCAAAAUCUCUACACAAAACAGCAGCCUUAGUGACACAUGGAGUUACCCUCCAUGCGUCAACAGGAGGGAUAAGAGAUAUAAUCUCCAAAACACACUCUAAAUUUCGAAACUUCAGAAAAAUGCUUAUGUAACCAUUUUAUUCCAACAUAUGGCAUCCCCACUCUGAUAAGAUCAGAUAAUGGGACACACUUUGUCAAUGAGGUAAUCAGCAAAGUCUCUGAAGCACUAGGGUUCAACAUCAAAUAUCACUGUGCUUACCAUCCUCAAAGUGCCGGCCUAGCGGAAAGAACUAACGGCACAGAGACUUAGAAAAUGCAUGGAAGAAACAGGAAGGCCAUGGCCUGAGUGUAUAGGCCUAGUAAAAAUGUGGAUGAGAUUAACCCAAUGCUUGCAGAAGCUGACACCAUUUGAAAUUAUACAUGGUAGACCCUUCCCUCUGCCCAUCACCAGUGAACCAAUAGACAAGUCAGUUAGAGAAACAACCCUAGCAGAAUGGAUGACAAAACUGCUAGAGAACAAAGAAAUAGUUCUGAGCAACCAACUGCCGAGUGAUUCUUCUCCAGUCUCUUCCAGGUUGAAACCAGGCGACUGGAUCCUGAUCAAGGUUCUCCAGAGGAAAAACUGGAGCUCACCGAGGUGGGAGGGCCCUUUUCAGGUCCUGCUAACGACGCCAACAGCGUGCAAAAUCGCUGAAAGACCUUCGUGGAUCCACCAGAGCCACACCAAAAAAGUACAAGGGGACACAAGCCCAGACGCCAGUUCACCUGUCAUCUAGUGAUCUGUAAGUGGAGGAGAGGGCAGAUUGGGUAUACCCCGCCCUCUUGACUUCUCGCUUUCAGUCAACACACUAGGUGAUCUGGUGAACUUGGUCGACCUGAAGAAACCCCAUUGUAGCCCGAGCACUGACCUAGCCCCACCUGCCCGGUAGAGUAAAGGAAGAUCAGUCCAACCUGCAAAACCAGAAGAGCAACCCAUCACUCAAGAUGUGUCCUCAUCCUGUGGAAUCAGAUCCAUGACCAUGGUCUGCCUAUGGAGACUUAGAGUCCCAGAAAAGCAGGGUGUAUCUUUUGUUUAUCCAAAUAAGACACUGCAACCGGAAUCUUCCUGGCACAAGCUUAUAGCCCGAUAGCAACUGAAGAAGAAGAAGACUGUGUGGAUGGGCUCCACCCUCUAUGUGACCCUGGGAUGGACGAUGGGAUGUUAAAAUAACCUCAGUCUUUUCUCACUUACCUCUGGAAGUAUCUACCCAGGAGGCAUCACAGUUACCUGUUAAAGCGCACUGUUGUGUAUCAACACCGACUCUUUACUGUUCACAAUAAACCAAG
ensembl:lncRNA